GCAAUAAGCCAUAUGCCAUCAUAAACAGCAAGAAGACAAGAACUAAUUAAAAUUGCAUUUUGCAUUAUUUGUUUCAUAAAUUAUGGAGUGUGAUGGUUUAGCAAUUUAUUCAAAACAGGCAAUUAAGAGAAGGAAAUCUUAUCAUAUUAUUUUUUGUUUUAACUGCCCAGCCUCUACUAUAAUACCCAUUUUCAUAUUGUCUGACCAAUCAUAAAAAAUCUCUGCUAAACCUUCUCUAGAGCCUUCACUUUGAAUGUAUUUACCUAAUUAAAUUCUCAUUUUGCAAUUAUGUAUUAAAUCCAUAAAAAAAAUGAUCAGAGUACCUCCAAUUGCCAUCCCACUUGCCCCUCAAUGAGUAAAAAU
rnacentral:misc_RNA from 1 species